AUUGAACGCUAGCGGGAUGCUUUACACAUGCAAGUCGAACGGCAGCGCGGACUUCGGUCUGGCGGCGAGUGGCGAACGGGUGAGUAAUGUAUCGGAACGUGCCCAGUAGCGGGGGAUAACUACGCGAAAGCGUAGCUAAUACCGCAUACGCCCUACGGGGGAAAGCAGUGGAUCGUAAGACCUUGCACUAUUGGAGCGGCCGAUAUCGGAUUAGCUAGUUGGUGAGGUAACGGCUCACCAAGGCGACGAUCCGUAGCUGGUUUGAGAGGACGACCAGCCACACUGGGACUGAGACACGGCCCAGACUCCUACGGGAGGCAGCAGUGGGGAAUUUUGGACAAUGGGGGCAACCCUGAUCCAGCAAUCCCGCGUGUGCGAUGAAGGCCUUCGGGUUGUAAAGCACUUUUGGCAGGAAAGAAACGUCGCGGGCUAAUACCCCGUGGAACUGACGGUACCUGCAGAAUAAGCACCGGCUAACUACGUG
rnacentral:rRNA from 1 species